AUUGAACGCUGGCGGCAGGCCUAACACAUGCAAGUCGAACGGUAACAGGAAGCAGCUUGCUGCUUUGCUGACGAGUGGCGGACGGGUGAGUAAUGUCUGGGAAACUGCCCGAUGGAGGGGGAUAACUACUGGAAACGGCAGCUAAUACCGCAUAACGUCGCAAGACCAAAGAGGGGGACCUUAGGGCCUCUUGCCAUCGGAUGUGCCCAGAUGGGAUUAGCUAGUAGGUGGGGUAACGGCUCACCUAGGCGACGAUCCCUAGCUGGUCUGAGAGGAUGACCAGCCACACUGGAACUGAGACACGGUCCAGACUCCUACGGGAGGCAGCAGUGGGGAAUAUUGCACAAUGGGCGCAAGCCUGAUGCAGCCAUGCCGCGUGUAUGAAGAAGGCCUUCGGGUUGUAAAGUACUUUCAGCGGGGAGGAAGGGAGUAAAGUUAAUACCUUGGCUCAUUGACGUUACCCGCAGAAGAAGCACCGGCUAACUCCGUG
rnacentral:rRNA from 1 species